rnacentral:rRNA from 1 species
GACGCUGGCGGCGUGCCUAACACAUGCAAGUCGAGCGCGAAGAUCUCUCUACCCAGUGUUUACUGUAUAUUGAUUAAGAUAGCGAAUUUUGUUUUCCCCUUUGCAUUUCAAAACAAAAAAGCAUCCCCAAAUAUCUUAAUGAGCAGCAUAGUGAACACUGAGUUGAGAGAAACUUUGAGCGGCGGACGGGUGAGUAACGCGUGGGUAACCUGCCUUGUACACACGGAUAACAUAACGAAAGUUUUACUAAUACGUGAUAAAGUAUUUUUCUCGCAUGAGAAAACUACCAAAGAAUUUCGGUACAAGAUGGACCCGCGUCUGAUUAGCUAGUUGGUGGGGUAAAGGCCCACCAAGGCGACGAUCAGUAGCCGACCUGAGAGGGUGAUCGGCCACAUUGGAACUGAGACACGGUCCAAACUCCUACGGGAGGCAGCAGUGGGGAAUAUUGCACAAUGGGGGAAACCCUGAUGCAGCAACGCCGCGUGAACGAUGAAGGUCUUCGGAUCGUAAAGUUCUGUUGCAUGGGAAGAUAAUGACGGUACCAUGUGAGGAAGCACCGGCUAACUACGUGCCAGCAGCCGCGGUAAUACGUAGGGUGCUAGCGUUAUCCGGAAUUACUGGGCGUAAAGGGUGCGUAGGUGGUCUAGUAAGUCAGGGGUUUAAUCUCACGGCUCAACCGUGUUCAGCCCCUGAAACUACAUGACUUGAGUGCAGGAGAGGAAAGCGGAAUUCCCAGUGUAGCGGUGAAAUGCGUAGAUAUUGGGAGGAACACCGGUAGCGAAGGCGGCUUUCUGGACUGUAACUGACACUGAGGCACGAAAGCGUGGGUAGCAAACAGGAUUAGAUACCCUGGUAGUCCACGCCGUAAACGAUGAGCACUAGGUGUCGGGGGUUACCCCCCUCGGUGCCGCAGCUAACGCAUUAAGUGCUCCGCCUGGGGAGUACGUACGCAAGUAUGAAACUCAAAGGAAUUGACGGGGACCCGCACAAGUAGCGGAGCAUGUGGUUUAAUUCGAAGCAACGCGAAGAACCUUACCUAGGCUUGACAUCCUCUUGACCGGGAAUUAACCUUCCCCUUCUCUUCGGAGACAAGAGAGACAGGUGGUGCAUGGUUGUCGUCAGCUCGUGUCGUGAGAUGUUGGGUUAAGUCCCGCAACGAGCGCAACCCUUGUCUUUAGUUGCCAUCAUUAAGUUGGGCACUCUAGAGAGACUGCCGGGGAUAACCCGGAGGAAGGUGGGGAUGACGUCAAAUCAUCAUGCCCCUUAUGCUUAGGGCUACACACGUGCUACAAUGGGUGGUACAGAGGGCUGCGAAAUCGUGAGAUCAAGCCAAUCCCUCAAAGCCAUUCUCAGUUCGGAUUGUAGGCUGAAACUCGCCUACAUGAAGCUGGAGUUACUAGUAAUCGCGAAUCAGAAUGUCGCGGUGAAUGCGUUCCCGGGUCUUGUACACACCGCCCGUCACACCAUGGGAGUUGGAAACGCCCGAAGCCGAUAAUCUAACCGUAAGGAAGAAGUCGUCGAAGGCGGAGUCAGUAACUGGGG